rnacentral:rRNA from 1 species
AUUGAACGCUGGCGGCAUGCCUUACACAUGCAAGUCGAACGGCAGCACGGGAGCAAUCCUGGUGGCGAGUGGCGAACGGGUGAGUAAUAUAUCGGAACGUGCCCAGUAGUGGGGGAUAACUGCUCGAAAGAGCAGCUAAUACCGCAUACGACCUAAGGGUGAAAGGGGGGGAUCGCAAGACCUCUCGCUAUUGGAGCGGCCGAUAUCAGAUUAGCUAGUUGGUGGGGUAAAGGCCUACCAAGGCAACGAUCUGUAGUUGGUCUGAGAGGACGACCAGCCACACUGGGACUGAGACACGGCCCAGACGCCUACGGGAGGCAGCAGGGGGGGACUUUGGACAGUGGGCGCAAGGCUGAGCCAGCAAUGACGCGUGCAGGAAGAAGGCCUUCGGGUUGUAAACUGCUUUUGUCAGGGAAGAAAUCCUCUAGGUUAAUACCCUUGGGGGGAUGACGGUACCUGAAGAAUAAGCACCGGCUAACUACGUGCCAGCCGCCGCCGUAACAC